GACGAACGCUGGCGGCGUGCUUAACACAUGCAAGUCGAACGGAAAGGCCCUGCUUUUGUGCUGUUCUCGAGUGGCGAACGGGUGAGUAACACGUGUGUAACCUGCCCUUGUCUUUGGGAUAACUUCAGGAAACUGGGGCUAAUCCCGUAUAGGAUCUCCUCCUGCAUUGUGGGGGUUGGAUCUUUUAGGCUGUUGGGGAUGGACUCGCGGCUUAUCAGCUUGUUGGUGGGGUAGUGGCUUACCAAGGCUUUGACGGGUAGCCGGCCUGAGAGGGGGACCGGGCACAUUGGGACUGAGAGACGGCCCAGACUCCAACGGGAGGCAGCAGUGGGGAAUAUUGCACAAUGGGCGGAAGCCUGAUGCAGAAACGCCGCGGGCGGGAUGACGGCCUGCGGGUUGUAAAAAGCUUUCGCCUGUGACGAAGCGUGAGUGACGGUAAUGGGUAAAGAAGCACCGGCUAACUACGUG
rnacentral:rRNA from 1 species